GACGAACGCUGGCGGCGCGCCUAAUACAUGCAAGUCGAACGGGUCUCCUUCGGGAGGUCAGUGGCGGACGGGUGAGUAACACGUGGGUAACCUACCCCGAAGACCGGGACAACCCGAGGAAACUCGGGCUAAUACCGGAUGUGGUCACUGUGCACAAGUGCAGUGAACAAAGGAAGCUUCGGCCUCCGCUUCGGGAGGGGCCCGCGGCCCAUUAGCUUGUUGGUGAGGUAACGGCUCACCAAGGCUUCUAUGGGUAGCUGGUCUGAGAGGACGAUCAGCCACACUGGGACUGAGACACGGCCCAGACUCCUACGGGAGGCAGCAGUGGGGAAUCUUGCGCAAUGCACGACAGUGUGACGCAGCAACGCCGCGUGGGGAAGACGGCCUU
rnacentral:rRNA from 1 species